UACGUAGGGGGCGAGCGUUGUCCGGAUUUAUUGGGCGUAAAGAGCGUGUAGGCGGCCAGGUAGGUCCGUUGUGAAAACUCGAGGCUCAACCUCGAGACGUCGAUGGAAACCAUCUGGCUAGAGUCCGGAAGAGGAGAGUGGAAUUCCUGGUGUAGCGGUGAAAUGCGCAGAUAUCAGGAAGAACACCCGUGGCUAAGGCGGCUCUCUAGUACGGUACUGACGCUGAGACGCGAAAGCGUGGGGAGCGAACAGG
rnacentral:rRNA from 1 species